AAAAAAACUUUUGAAGAAAUAAUCAAGAUGGCCCAUUUAGACAGUUGACAAGAAGGUGUGAGGAUACUUAACAUGGGGAAAUAGAUUCAAUCUGUGUAAUGACGCAGCCACUCCCAGUCUCUAUUCAAACUCAAGUUAAUGGCAUCUAGUUUGCAUAUGAAUUCAAACU